UCCGCAGGCGGGCAAUUAAGUCAGAGGUGAAAGUCUGCAGCUCAACUGUAGAAUUGCCCUUGAUACUGGUUGUCUUGAGUCAUUAUGAAGUAGUUAGAAUAUGUAGUGUAGCGGUGAAAUGCAUAGAUAUUACAUAGAAUACCAAUUGCGAAGGCAGAUUACUAAUAAUGUACUGACACUGAUGGACGAAAGCGUGGGGAGCGAACAGGAUUAGAUACCCUGGUAGUCC
rnacentral:rRNA from 1 species